rnacentral:rRNA from 1 species
AUUGAACGCUGGCGGCAUGCCUUACACAUGCAAGUCGAACGGCAGCACGGGAGCAAUCCUGGUGGCGAGUGGCGAACGGGUGAGUAAUACAUCGGAACGUGCCCAAUCGUGGGGGAUAACGCAGCGAAAGCUGUGCUAAUACCGCAUACGAUCUACGGAUGAAAGCAGGGGACCGCAAGGCCUUGCGCGAAUGGAGCGGCCGAUGGCAGAUUAGGUAGUUGGUGGGGUAAAGGCUCACCAAGCCAACGAUCUGUAGCUGGUCUGAGAGGACGACCAGCCACACGGGGACUGAGACACGGCCCAGACUCCUACGGGAGGCAGCAGUGGGGAAUUUUGGACAAUGGGCGCAAGCCUGAUCCAGCCAUGCCGCGUGCAGGAUGAAGGCCUUCGGGUUGUAAACUGCCUUUGUACGGAACGAAACGGCCUUUUCUAAUAAAGAGGGCUAAUGACGGUACCGUAAGAAUAAGCACCGGCUAACUACGUG